rnacentral:rRNA from 1 species
GAUGAACGCUGGCGGCGUGCCUAAUACAUGCAAGUCGAGCGAACGGACGAGAAGCUUGCUUCUCUGAUGUUAGCGGCGGACGGGUGAGUAACACGUGGAUAACCUACCUAUAAGACUGGGAUAACUUCGGGAAACCGGAGCUAAUACCGGAUAAUAUUUUGAACCGCAUGGUUCAAAAGUGAAAGACGGUCUUGCUGUCACUUAUAGAUGGAUCCGCGCUGCAUUAGCUAGUUGGUAAGGUAACGGCUUACCAAGGCAACGAUGCAUAGCCGACCUGAGAGGGUGAUCGGCCACACUGGAACUGAGACACGGUCCAGACUCCUACGGGAGGCAGCAGUAGGGAAUCUUCCGCAAUGGGCGAAAGCCUGACGGAGCAACGCCGCGUGAGUGAUGAAGGUCUUCGGAUCGUAAAACUCUGUUAUUAGGGAAGAACAUAUGUGUAAGUAACUGUGCACAUCUUGACGGUACCUAAUCAGAAAGCCACGGCUAACUACGUGCCAGCAGCCGCGGUAAUACGUAGGUGGCAAGCGUUAUCCGGAAUUAUUGGGCGUAAAGCGCGCGUAGGCGGUUUUUUAAGUCUGAUGUGAAAGCCCACGGCUCAACCGUGGAGGGUCAUUGGAAACUGGAAAACUUGAGUGCAGAAGAGGAAAGUGGAAUUCCAUGUGUAGCGGUGAAAUGCGCAGAGAUAUGGAGGGACACCAGUGGCGAAGGCGACUUUCUGGUCUGUAACUGACGCUGAUGUGCGAAAGCGUGGGGAUCAAACAGGAUUAGAUACCCUGGUAGUCCACGCCGUAAACGAUGAGUGCUAAGUGUUAGGGGGUUUCCGCCCCUUAGUGCUGCAGCUAACGCAUUAAGCACUCCGCCUGGGGAGUACGACCGCAAGGUUGAAACUCAAAGGAAUUGACGGGGACCCGCACAAGCGGUGGAGCAUGUGGUUUAAUUCGAAGCAACGCGAAGAACCUUACCAAAUCUUGACAUCCUUUGACAACUCUAGAGAUAGAGCUUUCCCCUUCGGGGGACAAAGUGACAGGUGGUGCAUGGUUGUCGUCAGCUCGUGUCGUGAGAUGUUGGGUUAAGUCCCGCAACGAGCGCAACCCUUAAGCUUAGUUGCCAUCAUUAAGUUGGGCACUCUAAGUUGACUGCCGGUGACAAACCGGAGGAAGGUGGGGAUGACGUCAAAUCAUCAUGCCCCUUAUGAUUUGGGCUACACACGUGCUACAAUGGACAAUACAAAGGGCAGCGAAACCGCGAGGUCAAGCAAAUCCCAUAAAGUUGUUCUCAGUUCGGAUUGUAGUCUGCAACUCGACUACAUGAAGCUGGAAUCGCUAGUAAUCGUAGAUCAGCAUGCUACGGUGAAUACGUUCCCGGGUCU